CUCCCCCACUCCUCUUUUUCCAGUUACUAUCUGGAAUAUUCGGCAAUUUCCGAGUGUGCGGGUAUGUUUGAUGUAUUGCUAUAUACAAACAAAGACAUUACAGUGCCAGAUGAGUGGGCUGACACCACAGCUCAUCUUAUACCAGAUUGUGAUGAAGUAAGAUUGAGUAAUUUCUCUACAACUGUGCAUCGAAUAGAUACAGCAGUUCAGUACAAAUCAGCUGAUGACUAAAAUGGAAUAAGCUUUGUACUACUGUAUUUGUAAAUAUAAAUAAAUUAAUGUUGUUUUGUA